rnacentral:sRNA from 1 species
CAGCCACACAAAAUGUUACAGAACCAGGUUGCACAACAGAUUCUAGACUAGCUCUAUUGACUUUAACGGUCUAAAGACCCAACAACUCGCCACCAUGCUCAAGUUCCUGUGUCUGCUUGUGUGUUUGGUGACUUGUACACUAGCGUUCCCCUCCCUCAUCCAAAAGUUUUUUGACUGCACAAACGACAUCCGUCAAGACUGCGGGGACCUGAACAUGGACGGCGACUGCGACAGUGUCUUCUACCAGAUCGGUUGUGCUAAGACCUGUCAGGCUUGCUUCAGAUAGAGGCUCUGACCCAGACACAACACAGCAUUCAAAGUCACAUCAAGGGGCCGUCACUCUCAAUAAUUUUGACAAUACUUUGUGUUGAAGACUCGUACAAUUAUGUUUCUUUGUCAAUACGAGUUGGUUAUUAAUGAACAAUACAUUUGUUUCAUUUGA